GUUGAGUUGAGUUGAGUUUUAUAUGCUCAGCUUUUCCCCCCUCUUUCAUUUAGAUUUUACUUUGGGCUAGACCCUAACAAUCACGUAUUAUAGAGAUUAGAUUAGUUGAAGAAAAACUAUAAGCUUGGGUAAGAGAUAGAUUUCUUAAAAUGGACGAGAUUUUAGGCUGGACAAGUGCAAUAACAGUCUAAAACCUAAAUGAAAAACAUGGAGACAAUUUUAUAGUUCUAAAGAAAAAACACAUUACAUGAGAAAAACAUCAACACAUCUUGCAUGAGCAUACAUUGAUAUGUAUAAUGUAAAUGGGUGCGGAAACAUUUGAAAUUUGAAUAACAAAAGCUACAAGGUUUAAAUUAUAAUAUUUACAAAAAUGUACUAAAUGAUAUAAUAUGAAACCUAGACCAAAAUAUAUAUAUAUAGAAUGGCUCAUUUACCAAUUCAAGCAUACACCAUGUUGCUAUGAAUCAACCCAAGGUAUGAUUUUCUUUGGUUUUUGAACUAUUCGUUUGUAGUUUUUAACAAAAAUAACCAAUUUGUUUAGGACUCAUAUUUCUUUUAUUCAUUAGGGAAAAAGUUACUAAUUAGCCCCUGAACUUUUGGCCAAGGCUCAAUUGAGCACUUAAGUUGUUUUGGGGUAUAAAAUUGGGUCUGUUAAGAUUAUUGCAGGAUUCUGUACAAGGCUGGGAUAGUGUAAGAAUUGUGUACCUGUAAAUUAGGCUAACAUUAAGAAUUAAUUUAGGGAAGUAAUCUUAGGAUUGAUUUAGGUAAUCUUUCCCUUUUCAUUGUAAACUAACACUAUAUAUUUAGAGAAGAAUACACAUCCUAUUUUUCCAAACAUCAAUUCUCUUCUUCUUUUUUCACUCUCUUUUCUUCCUUUUACAUGGUGUUAGAGCCUAAGAUCUGAUCAUUCCUUUCUUUCUACUAUACUUUUCCCAUAUUCCACUGUUCCUGAGAAACGAGGCUGCAAUCUCUAGUUCAUAGGUGCUUGGGGGUCAAUUCUCUUCACCACCCUCACCACUAGGAGCUCCUCCCACUAAUCGGCCAGCCACCUAAAUCUCAUCACCAGAAAGAGUCCCACAGGCCGCCACGAAUGUCCAUGGUUUUAAAUAAUGGCCAUUAUUUAAAACCAUGGACAUUCGUGGCGGCCUGUGGGACUCUUUCUGGUGAUGAGAUUUAGGUGGCUGGCCGAUUAGUGGGAGGAGCUCCUAGUGGUGAGGGUGGUGAAGAGAAUUGACCCCCAAGCACCUAUGAACUAGAGAUUGCAGCCUCGUUUCUCAGGAACAGUGGAAUAUGGGAAAAGUAUAGUAGAAAGAAAGGAAUGAUCAGAUCUUAGGCUCUAACACCAUGUAAAAGGAAGAAAAGAGAGUGAAAAAAGAAGAAGAGAAUUGAUGUUUGGAAAAAUAGGAUGUGUAUUCUUCUCUAAAUAUAUAGUGUUAGUUUACAAUGAAAAGGGAAAGAUUACCUAAAUCAAUCCUAAGAUUACUUCCCUAAAUUAAUUCUUAAUGUUAGCCUAAUUUACAGGUACACAAUUCUUACACUAUCCCAGCCUUGUACAGAAUCCUGCAAUAAUCUUAACAGACCCAAUUUUAUACCCCAAAACAACUUAAGUGCUCAAUUGAGCCUUGGCCAAAAGUUCAGGGGCUAAUUAGUAACUUUUUCCCUAAUGAAUAAAAGAAAUAUGAGUCCUAAACAAAUUGGUUAUUUUUGUUAAAAACUACAAACGAAUAGUUCAAAAACCAAAGAAAAUCAUACCUUGGGUUGAUUCAUAGCAACAUGGUGUAUGCUUGAAUUGGUAAAUGAGCCAUUCUAUAUAUAUAUAUUUUGGUCUAGGUUUCAUAUUAUAUCAUUUAGUACAUUUUUGUAAAUAUUAUAAUUUAAACCUUGUAGCUUUUGUUAUUCAAAUUUCAAAUGUUUCCGCACCCAUUUACAUUAUACAUAUCAAUGUAUGCUCAUGCAAGAUGUGUUGAUGUUUUUCUCAUGUAAUGUGUUUUUUCUUUAGAACUAUAAAAUUGUCUCCAUGUUUUUCAUUUAGGUUUUAGACUGUUAUUGCACUUGUCCAGCCUAAAAUCUCGUCCAUUUUAAGAAAUCUAUCUCUUACCCAAGCUUAUAGUUUUUCUUCAACUAAUCUAAUCUCUAUAAUACGUGAUUGUUAGGGUCUAGCCCAAAGUAAAAUCUAAAUGAAAGAGGGGGGAAAAGCUGAGCAUAUAAAACUCAACUCAACUCAAC
rnacentral:misc_RNA from 1 species